AGCAGCCGCGGUAAUUCCAGCUCCAAUAGCGUAUAUUAAAGUUGUUGCAGUUAAAAAGCUCGUAGUUGAAUUUCGGGGUCAGUAGGUCGGUCGUGCCACUGGUAUGAACUGGUUUUACUGAUUCCUCCCUCUUGAAGAACUGUAAUGCCAUUAAUUUGGUGUUGCAGGGAAUCAGGACUGUUACUUUGAAAAAAUUAGAGUGUUUAAAGCAGGCUUUAGCUUGAAUACGUUAGCAUGGAAUAAUGAAAUAGGACGUUUGAUCCUAUUUUGUUGGUUUCUAGGAUUGACGUAAUGAUUAAUAGGGAUAGUUGGGGGCAUUAGUAUUCAAUUGUCAGAGGUGAAAUUCUUGGAUUUAUUGAAGACUAACUACUGCGAAAGCAUUUGCCAAGGAUGUUUUCAUUAAUCAAGAACGAAAGUUAGGGGAUCGAAGACGAUCAGAUACCGUCGUAGCCUUAACCAUAAACUAUGCCGACUAGGGAUCGGAUGAUGUUAAUUUUUUAAUGACUCA
rnacentral:rRNA from 1 species